ensembl:lncRNA
GUCCAGAGGAGCUAUUGGACAGAAGGGAGUUGCUGGUGUCGAUGGGCCCAACUGGAUUACGGGGGCCAGUGGGGCCACCAGGACUAAAGGGACUACCGGGUGAAAAGGGGAAGAUGGGAGCUCGUGGGGAAAGAGGUGAAAAAUGAAUCCAGGGAGAUGGAGGCAACCAAGGUCAACAAGGACCAAAGGGCCCACUGGGAAAGAAGGAUACUCAGGGCCCUCAGGGGACAGAGGGAGCAAAUGAGUUCCAGGACUAAAGGGCCAGUAGGGCAUCAGAGGCCCAUCAGGCCUAGCUGGGCACUAUGGACCAGGGGGCAACACCGGAGAAGGAGGGGCCAAAGGAGAGAAGGGGCUCCCUGGAACCAUAGGGCCUCCUGGAAGGUUUGGGCCUACAGGCUUAGUGGGACCAAAAUGAUCAACAGUCCAAGAAGGAAGAAAGGGGACAUUGGGAAAGAGGGGGUUAACCGGGUCUCCAGGAGGUAAAGGCAGACCUGGGCCUGCUGGUCCCCUUGGAGAGAAAGGUGGUAAAGGAAUAGAAGGGCCAAAGCCCAGGAAAGAAAGGAACAAGGGAGUUAGAGGCAAACCGGGAGAAGGCCCAUUGGGACCGGAUGGACCAGUUGGAAGACCUGGAAAGCCAGGACUUGCUGGUUUGGAUGGAUUGUUGGGGGUUGAAGGAAACGAAGGAGAUAAUGGUGAUAUUGGUUACAGAGGAACCCCUGGGAGGCCAGGUAUGCCAGGGAAAAUGGGUCAAAUUGGACGAACUGUAUUUGACCAAUUGAGAUACCCAACGAAGGGUAAUCUUGGAUCUAAAGGAAAACAAGCACCUGCAGGGCCAAUGGGGCAAAGGGCUAUUCCAGGGCUUGGAGGAGAGAAGGGGACAUUUGGCCAGCAUGGCUCAAAGGAUCUGUUAGGAAAGAGAGGAUACAAGGUAUGCCUGGAGCUAAGGGGGUGAGAGGGGAAAUCAGGUCCUCCUGGCCGUCCAAGAAAUAGGCGACCUGAAUCCCUUGGAAAAAAAGAAUAAGAUUUUAAAAACAAAACCGGACCAUGACCAGGAGAACGCUUGACUCUGACCAUCACUCAAGCAGCUCCUUCAGCUGGCCUCAGGGCACCAAAGACAGCCCUGCAACAAGCUGGGGCUGAUUCAUCCACACCUGCAGGAUGGAAACUUUUAUGUGGACCCUAAGCAGGGCUGCCUGUUUGAUGCCCUGCAAGUGUACCUGUAACUUCACUGUAGGAGGGAUGACCUGUAUACCUCCUGUGUUGUCACAAGUGGAGGUACGAGUAUGGGGGAGCACAGAGAUCCAUAGAGGGGACUUGGAGCUGUUGCCCCUCAGGGAUGUUAGUGCGGAGGGAAGGGGAGAUCACUGGGACACAGACCUCAGAGCUGUCCUGAGACCUUUGUGCUUUUUGUAGCCUCCAUUUAUCCAGAGAGAAGAAGCAAGCACUGCCCAGUGUAUGGGGCAAGAUCAUUUGGCUGCAAUUCCUCAUCAGGACAAAAGAAUGUUGUCUCAUCAUGUUGUCUGUUCGCUGCAGCGCUUAUGUAUAAUUGCGAUAACAACUAG